CGGAACUUCCGUUCUCCGUCCUUUUCGACCCCGACAUCGUGAUCCACACGGCGUGUUCACGUGCUCUCCCAGUGGACACAAUGUCUGGUUGGGCUGCAGAUAGAGGAGGAGGAUGUGCUGAAGGUGCUUUCAGUAGGAACCCACCAGCAAGGAGCUGACCUGGACUUCCAGGUGGAUGAGUGUCCACAAGAGGAAUGUCUGUUUGUACAUUAACGUGAGGAAGACCUGGUGGCAGCCGGGGGACCACACUGCCGUCAGCGAGAACCCAGGGAUCCCCUCCGGGAAUACAGGACAGGGUCUUUCGAGGAUGAGGGGUGCCAUCUCCAGGUAGCUCCCCCUGGGAAAUCAUGCCUGAGAUCUACUUCCACAUGGAUUCAGAGUGUACUGGGGUGCCCAGAAUGCUCUUGAAGGCUGCUCUCCAGCUCCUGCUGCAGACUGCGAGAGUGCUACUUUCUGACUAGUCCGAUCAAACAAAGCACAUGAGAAAUGCACAACGCUGAGAAAUCAAUAAAGUUGGCUGGUUAUUCACACAA